rnacentral:rRNA from 1 species
AUUUCUUUAUUAAUUUUUAAUAAAUAAUUUAUAUUAAAUAUAAAAAUAUAUUUAUACUAAAAAAAGACGACAAGACCCUAUUAAAUUUUACUUAUAGUUUAGCUGGGGAAGCUUUUCAAUUAAAAUUUUUUAAAUUAAAAUAAAUAAAAAUCUAAUAAAAUUAAAUUUUAAUAAAUUACUAUAGGGAUAACAGCAUUAUAUUUUUUAAAAGUUCAUAUUAAAAAAAAUGAUUGUGACCUCGAUGUUGAAUUAUAUUUUCUAUAUUUAAUGCAAUAAUUAUAUAAGUAGAUCUGUUCGAUCUUUAAAAUAUUACAUGAUUUGAGUUCAAACCGGUGUAAACCAGGUUGGUUUCUAUCUUUUUAUAUAUUUUUCUAGUACGAAAGGACAAAAAAAUUUUUAUUCUAAUAAAUUAGCAAAUAUAUGCAUUAGAUUUAGAAUCUAAAUAUAAUUAAGAAUUUUUUUAUCAAUUCUUUAUUAUCAAUUAUUAUACUUUUAAUUUCAGUAACAUUUUAUACAAUUUUAGAACGAAAAAUUUUAAGAUAUAUUCAAAUUCGAAAAGGUCCAAAUAAAGUAGGAUUUUUAGGAAUUUUACAACCUUUUAGUGAUGCUAUUAAAUUAUUUAAUAAAAAUUUAAUUACAUCUGAAAGAAUAAAUUUUAUAUUAUCAUAUUCAAUACCAGCAUUAUCUUUAAUUUUAAGAAUAAUAAUUGUAUCUAUAUUACCAAUAUAUUUUUAUUCUUCAUUUGAUAAUAAAAAUAAUAUUUUAAUAUUUUUUGUAAUUUCAAGAUUAGCAGUAUAUUCUAUUUU